CACUAGUGACAGAGAAGACUCAGUAAUUAAUUUUACUCUCUAAAUUUUACAAGGUCCCAUUGUAAGUAAGGGGUGAAAUUGAGUUUAGAACUGUCAAUUUUAGAAAUUACGAUCAAAGUAGUUGCCACAAAGACUGAGACAAACGCUUUGAACUGACAGCAAAUUUAAGUUAUGGUAGUCAUUUUAGAUAAGCCAAAUGACG